UCUUAUUGACUAUUAAGUUCAGCUCAUCAUAUGUUAUGGAAAUAUAUUAAUGUGUUUCUACUGUUGAAAUAUAAUUCAUGGUUCAUGCUCAAUAUCAUUUCAGGUUCAAGAUAUUUUCUAACUUUUUUGAUGAAUUUGAUUCCAUUACCCUUAAAAGAUGACAUGACAACACUGGAGUAACUGAUCGAGUUGUCAACAAAGUUAGAUUUUUUUUUUGCUGCAUUUUAUUAUUUUGCCUUAACUUUUGAUGUCUUUCUCACUGUUAUUUUGCUUUCAAACAAUUCCUAACUAAAUAAGAUGGUUUUGAAGUUUUGACUGGUGUAUUUGUGUUUGUUGCAACAAUGUUAGUUCUCAUGGAAUCCUAUUGUAUUAUUUUGAUAGUAUCUAUCCUUAAUCUUCGGUUAAUCUCCACAAUGUUGAGUUUGUUUUGUUAUUAUAUUCACGUGAUCAAUUUUGACAUGAGAUGCAUACCCAAAUAAGAUAGCUUUUCAAGUAGCACAAAAUUUUUAAAAGAUAAUAUGUUUCUUGAUUUCAAGGUUUUCCAUAAAUAUAUGAAUUUUUUAUUUCAUGGUUUUCCUUAUAAGUUGCAUGGCUUUAAUAAAAAUUGACUUAAAUUCUUCUCAUAAGUAGUAGACCAGAUUUGCUUGAUGCUGCAUUGCUGAUACCAGGUAGGCUUGAUCGCCUCCUUUUCUGUGAUUUUCCAUCUCCGCGUGAAAGGUUGGAUAUUUUGACCUUUCUUUCAAGAAAGGUUAGUGAUAUUGUUUUUAUGCAUCAGUUUUUUACGCUCUCUUUUAUUUUUUGUUUCAUCAUAGAAACCGAAGGUAUAAAACUCUUCUUCAAGUCUUGCUUCCUAGAAUUACAUGAUUUUAACCGCAUGUAUCAGCUUUGUUACAAGGAUUAAGUGGUCAGUGUUGGAUUUUGAUGUACUUCUGUCACUAAUUUACUCAAAAUUUUAAAAAUUUUCGUAUAUUUGGAGGAACAACUUGUAUACUCGUGUCCAAAUAUGUGUAGAACAUAAAUGAAUAGUCCAAGCAACAUAGUAUAGUGUAAUGUGAUUUGCUAUAAAUAUCGAACUAGAAACUACCUUGAUCGAAUGUUUUAGUGUUACUUUCCUUUGUAAUACUUUGUUUUUGCACAUGUAAUGUAGUUUCCAUUGCCCAGUGAUGUCGAUUUGGACACCAUAGCAUAUAUGACAGAAGGAUUUAGCAGAGCUGAUCUCCAAGCUCUUCUCUAAGAUGCACGGCUCGCUGCGAUUCAUGAACAUUUGAGCAGUGAGAAUAACAAUGAGCCUGGCAAAAUUUUGGUCAUAACUAAUACUGUUUUGAAGUCUAUUGCUUCCAAGGCAAGACCUUCAGUUUCAGAAGCCGAAAUCAAAGACUGUAUGGCAUGUACAGUCAGUUUAUGGAUUCAAAGUGACCUGCCCAUAGUGCUGUUGAGGGAUGCAAAAGGCAAGUGGGCAACUCAGGUUCGAGAUAUUUUCUCUAAAGCAGCUGCUUUUGCACCUUGCCUCCUUUUUUUUUUUAUGAAUGUGAUUCCAUGGAACUAAGGGAAACAAGACUUCUAAUUGGUGGGAAGAGGACAUUGAAUUGGAGGUAUCUUCGGCGUAGUUGAAUAGUCGAAUGACAGCUAAACACAAUGAUACAUAUUGUGCAUAAAUGGUGAAACUCGAUGAUGCACAAAACAAAUUUUCCUUAUAGAUUUCUUUUAAACUUUUUCGUUCACAUUUCCCUGUAACCAAACCCUUUCUUUACACGAAUCAGAAUAAGUAACAUAGAAUUUGUUUUUUUGCGUUUCUUGAUAUCUCUUUGAUUCAGACAGUAAUGAGGAAGAAAAGUAAAAUUCAAGGUUGUUCGUAUCGCUUGUCGAUA